UUGUACUCUGCAGGGAGAAAAGAGACAUGAACAGAGUAGAACCCAUCAAUCUUGACUUUACAUCACUACCCUGGCUGCUGUUUUGGCCUCCAAAGAGGUCUGGCCUCCAUACAUCUACUGGUCUUGAUCAUCCAGAGACCCUGUCCUGGCUGAAUUCACCACAGAGAAUAGCCACAGCUCAUGAACUGCUUUCCACAGUGGCAGGACCAUAGUACAUUCCCACCAGCGAUCUAUGAGGGUGGCACCCAGUUACUGCUACAUGAAAAGGACCUGUCAUGAAACCAACACAGAGUGCACUCUCUGCAAAGUGACAUCAACAUAAGCAAAAAACUUGAAAAAUCUGUCUCUGAACAAUAGCAAGGAUGAAUGAAUAGUUCCAUCAGCAGAGCAGCAUGAUGUCAAUCUUAGCGCACCUAUGGCAGUGAUGACAUGCUGGGGGGAACAGGUACCGGGGAUCAAACUCGGGACCUUGUGCUUGCAAGGCAGUCAGCAGAACCACUGAACUAAAUCCUCAGCCCCUGCCUUGGGUUUCUGCCACCUAAAACUUCCAGACUAAUAAAACAUCUUACCAAGCUACAACCCGAAUAACUGACAAGUUCUUGACUUGCCCCUCAGGCAAUUUUGUUUCUCAGAAAAUAGAGGAAGCAACCAGGGGAAUGACUACUCUGAACCUAAUUCUGACCAACAUGGACAAAUUGGCUGGUGAAGUAGAUGUGACAUGUAACUGGUGAGAAAAUGGCCACAUCGUCUUGAAUUUGUGGUGACCAGAGAGGAA